rnacentral:lncRNA from 1 species
GAUCUGGCCACCCCUGGGGUGUGGGGAGGUGGGAGCGGGAGGCACAGACGCCCGAGCAGCUAGCGAAUUCCAUUUAAAGUGUCUUCUGCAUUCGAGAAAACACCUUUGAAGACACCGGUGCGGGUUCCUCGGAAGAAAGUUGGGUUACCCAGCACUGAAACACACGAUGCUCGUGUGACAAAGAUUUGACUUAAAAGAGAAUAGAGUGGAUACUUAGAAGUCAAUCAGAACCACCGUGGGCAAG